CACGUAGGGGGCGAGCGUUGUCCGGAUUUAUUGGGCGUAAAGAGCUCGUAGGUGGCUUAGUAAGUCGGGUGUGAAACCUCCAGGCUCAACCUGGAGACGCCACCCGAUACUGCCAUGGCUAGAGUCCGGUAGGGGACCACGGAAUUCCUGGUGUAGCGGUGAAAUGCGCAGAUAUCAGGAGGAACACCGGUGGCGAAGGCGGUGGUCUGGGCCGGAACUGACGCUGAGGAGCGAAAGCGUGGGGAGCGAACAGG
rnacentral:rRNA from 1 species